GACGAACGCUGGCGGCGUGCCUAAUACAUGCAAGUCGAGCGAACAGAAGGGAGCUUGCUCCCGGAUGUUAGCGGCGGACGGGUGAGUAACACGUGGGUAACCUGCCUGUAAGACUGGGAUAACUCCGGGAAACCGGAGCUAAUACCGGAUAGUUCCUUGAACCGCAUGGUUCAAGGAUGAAAGACGGUUUCGGCUGUCACUUACAGAUGGACCCGCGGCGCAUUAGCUAGUUGGUGGGGUAAUGGCUCACCAAGGCGACGAUGCGUAGCCGACCUGAGAGGGUGAUCGGCCACACUGGGACUGAGACACGGCCCAGACUCCUACGGGAGGCAGCAGUAGGGAAUCUUCCGCAAUGGACGAAAGUCUGACGGAGCAACGCCGCGUGAGUGAUGAAGGUUUUCGGAUCGUAAAGCUCUGUUGUUAGGGAAGAACAAGUGCGAGAGUAACUGCUCGCACCUUGACGGUACCUAACCAGAAAGCCACG
rnacentral:rRNA from 1 species